UUUAGUUUCUUAAUUGUGAACCUUCAUGACUGGAAACCAUCUUAGUUUCUUAAUUGUGAACCUUCAUGACUGGAAACCAUCUUAGUUUCUUAAUUGUGAACCUUCAUGACUGGAAACCAUCUUAGUUUCUUAAUUGUGAACCUUCAUGACUGGGAACCAUCUUAGUUUCUUAAUUGUGAACCUUCAUGACUGGGAACCAUUUUAGUUUCUUAAUUGUGAACCGUCAUGACUGGGAAUUCUCAUUACUUUCAGUUUCUGAACUGGGAAGUGUGUUUCGUAUGAAAGUCAUGACUGCAAGCCAUUUGUUGUCUUAGUUUCUUGAUGGGAACAAUCUUUAGUCUUAUCUUCUUGAAGGAAUUAGUUUUGACAAGUGCAAUAUGCAUUCAUUUAAUACAUUAAGAAAUUGCACCUGCAGCAAGAGGAGCCUGAAUUGAUUCUAGUGAGAAGCAGACAGUUCAUGUUCUCAUGAAUUAUGUUUCCCUGGGCCAUCCCUUAAAUAUAAUUUACUGAGUGCUGAUAUUAACAUAAUGUGGUAACUUCUGUUUAUAAUGAUAUCAAUUACUUUAGAAAUGGAUCUAUGUAAGUCGUGAAGCCUGACACAUGUUACUGUCAUGCCUUCCUGAUGCUGAUGCAAGUCCCACUGGCUCACUCAUAGUAGUCAAGCAGUCAGAUUCAGAUGCUCACUUAAUUUGAUGCUACUUGUCUGGGAAGAAAAAAGUACCACAAAAGUACUCGAUAUUCACACAUCAUCUACAUGAUCACUAUGUACCGUAUUCUCCAUAAUUAGCAUCCAGGUGCAUAAUUGAUGAAGGGACUGUUUAUAGACACCAGUCCUGGGUUUGUUGGUAUUUCCAGUGUUAACAAGUAGGGGGUUGUGUGUUUACAGUGGGAAGAAAAACGGAGCUCAAUGCAGCACGUGUAAUACACACCCUCUUCAACACAAUUGUGUUUUCUGGGAAAAGAGGGUCUUAUACACAAAAAAUUAUGGACUGACAUAUGAACAUUUGGGCUUCAAAAGAUUACCAGCGUGUAGACAGUGUAUGAAAUAAGCCAUAAACCCAGCCAGUUAUUUGGGCUGGUAACUUCAAAAACUUACCAGCCCAGAAGAGAUUCAACCAGUCCUUCUUAUAUAAUAGACAGUACCAUUUGACACGUUAUCUGAAUAUUUUUUUUUCACCCGUUCAGCGGGCUGGCUAGCUGUAAAAUUAGACCGUCCGACAGAAAUCUAGCCCGUGUCAGGCGGUCGGACUGGCCUUAUUUCAUACACUGGUGUAGAUCAGGAAUUUGGUGGCGGUGUUAAUUGAAUGGGGGCGCUGUAUACAGUGAAUAUGGUAGGUUCUUCCAGAUGAGCUGGCCAAGCUGGAGGUAUUCAUCUGUUACUGUUCAUCAUGUUGACCCUAGAUAUAGGAUAUGUAACUUAUGUAAGAUUUGUAGAUUAUUGUAUAUUUCCUAGUGUAAUGAUGUAGUGUAGAUAGUCGACACCUACCCGUCAGUGUAGACUUAAUCUUUGUAUAUAGUAGAGCCAGAAUCUCGGGAGGCGUUGCUCUUGUUAGGGGAAUCGCUGUUAGUGUUGACACAAAUAUUCUAUCCCAGUAAUAAUACAUUAUUUAAUUUAUCCAUAUAUCUCUUCAAACUUCUCCAAGAAGACCUUGUUGGUGCAUAUUGACUUGUUAAUCCAUGUAACUCGGUAGCCUACUGUACUGUUAUAGAUUUCAAAUAUUUCUGGAUAUUUAUCCAAUAUUGUUACAGUUUUAUCAUGUAGCCAUGUAAUCUUAUUGACAACUGCCACGAUAGUUUGAGGUCAUGUUAGAUAAGGCGAAAGUUUACCAGCUAUUAAGUUCUGUCUUUGGUUCCGACUAUUACCAGUGUGAGUCUUCAGCAGUACAUCUAGCAUCCAUGAGUUCUGUUAUGCAUGAGAUACUGUUAUUGUGACUCGUCCCAUCUGUCUCAUUGUUUUCGUCAGAUAAUUGUAGAUUUUUUAUACAAGUUUAUUAUGUUUUCCAGAAAUCCAGUUUUUAUUUCAUGAGUAUUAUUCUUUCAAUGGUUUGUGAUUAUUUUUUUAUUUAUACUUUACAGAAGUGUUUAUGUAUUGACAUGCUUAUGUUUGAAAGUUGGACUCUAUGGCUGAAUAUAUUUGUAUAUUAUAUAUACUUUUUCUAACAUAUUGCAUUAUUCAGAUCUGUUUACUAUAUCUCAAUAUAUAUGUAUACAUAUGAAUCCGAGGAAAUCAGACACCAUUUAGCAUUGCCUUAUGCAGUGAUACAAAGUCCAGAAAAUAAUUCCUUGUAAAUUUGAAAGAGAAACAUUUAUUUCCAUGACAUUAAGGACUUUACAUUUCCUUUCUGUUGAACUUUGUAUCAAUAUUGACUUUAAUUUAUUCUUUGUGUUUAUUUUUGUAAUGUAUGAAAGAAAUUGGUUGCUCAAAUUAAGGAUGUUCAAUCAAGUAGGAACCUGAUGUGUAACUGAAUCAGUCUCAGCACUAUUUGCUGAUCUGAAUUCUCUUUCGUGUUCAGAGAUUCUGUAUCUCAUCAAACACUGAAGAAAUAUUAAACUGCAAGAUGUUUUUCAACAAUACAUGAUCAUGUUGGUCAAUAUCUGUCAAUCUGAGAGAACAUUUGGAGGAAAAAAUCAUCAGACACAUACCACGUUAUCAAAUCAAUAAUACUUGAGAUUCUGUAUAGUGAAAGUUUGGUACCUCUGACACUGUUUGAAGUGAUUCUUCUUUCUAAACUUAUAGUGGUCUUCAGACUAUAUAGGACUAGUAAUGUAGGUGAUGUGUCCUGCACAGUUUAGUGUAACUCAAUACUUCACGCUACGGUAUCUUGUCUUUCUCUGUGUCAUCCUCUAUGUUAUGUGUAGAUAUUAGGUGACCAGGCUCUUUGCCUGAACUCUCCAGGACUCCACACAGAUUGGGGGAAGAGUUUUGGCUCUCGUACUAGGUUACCAGGGCUCUUUGUCUGGACGCUCCAGGACUCCACACAGAUGGGGGAAGAGUUUUGGGUCUGGUACUAGGUCGCCAGGCUCUUUGCCUGAACUCUCCAGGACUCCACACAGAUGGGGGAAGAGUUUUGGUUCUGGUACUAGGUCGCCGAGCUCUUCGUCUGGACUCUCCAGGUUCCACACAGAUGGAAGGGGAGCCUUGGAUCAGGUAUUUGAUAACCAGGGCCUAGAUUUUCGAAGCUCUCUUAGCGCUAAGAUAGUCGUAAAUUAAUUCUAAUGUAUGGCACUUACGACUAUCUUAGCGCUAAGAGAGCUUCGAAAAUCUAGGCCCUGGGCUCUUUGUCUGGACACUCCAGGGGCUCCACUGAUGCAGGAGUCUUCGUUCUGGUACUAGGCAGCGAUGUGAUUUAGACAGUAACCCCGCUCAAACGAUGCCACCCCCAGUAGCUACACAUUCAGAACCCUACACUUUCCCCUCUCAAGGCAUGCUUAUUGUUGAGUUCAUUUACUUCCUGUUCACUAUUUAUCAAUAUGCAAACUAACUAUACCUAAUGUGCAAUAACUUGUUUUCAACUUGCAGAUUAAAUAAAUAGCAUUCCACAGUCGAAA
rnacentral:lncRNA from 1 species